CCAUGCCGCGUGCGGGAAGAAGGCCUUCGGGUUGUAAACCGCUUUUGUCAGGGAAGAAAAGGUUCUGGCUAAUACCUGGGACUCAUGACGGUACCUGAAGAAUAAGCACCGGCUAACUACGUGCCAGCAGCCGCGGUAAUACGUAGGGUGCAAGCGUUAAUCGGAAUUACUGGGCGUAAAGCGUGCGCAGGCGGUUAUGCAAGACAGAGGUGAAAUCCCCGGGCUCAACCUGGGAACUGCCUUUGUGACUGCAUGGCUAGAGUACGGUAGAGGGGGAUGGAAUUCCGCGUGUAGCAGUGAAAUGCGUAGAUAUGCGGAGGAACACCGAUGGCGAAGGCAAUCCCCUGGACCUGUACUGACGCUCAUGCACGAAAGCGUGGGGAGCAAACAGGAUUAGAUACCCUGGUAGUCCACGCCCUAAACGAUGUCAACUGGUUGUUGGGAGGGUUUCUUCUCAGUAACGUAGCUAACGCGUGAAGUUGACCGCCUGGGGAGUACGGCCGCAAGGUUG
rnacentral:rRNA from 1 species